UUCUGGCUCAGGACGAACGCUGGCGGCGUGCUUAACACAUGCAAGUCGAACGAUGACGAUGGUGCUUGCACCGUCUGAUUAGUGGCGAACGGGUGAGUAACACGUGAGUAACCUGCCCUCCUCUUCGGGAUAACCGCCGGAAACGGUGGCUAAUACCGGAUAUGAAUGCCUGCCGCAUGGUGGGUGUUGGAAAGAUUUAUCGGUGGGGGAUGGACUCGCGGCCUAUCAGUUUGUUGGUGAGGUAAUGGCUCACCAAGGCGAUGACGGGUAGCCGGCCUGAGAGGGCGACCGGCCACACUGGGACUGAGACACGGCCCAGACUCCUACGGGAGGCAGCAGUGGGGAAUAUUGCACAAUGGGCGAAAGCCUGAUGCCAGCGACGCCGCGUGGGGGAUGACGGCCUUCGGGUUGUAAACCUCUUUCAGCAGGGAAGAAGCGAGAGUGACGGUACCUGCAGAAGAAGCGCCGGCUAACUACGUGCCAGCCGCUGC
rnacentral:rRNA from 1 species